rnacentral:rRNA from 1 species
UACAGAGGGGGCAAGCGUUAUUCGGAAUUAUUGGGCGUAAAGGGCGCGUAGGCGGCUUCGCAAGUGGAAGGUGAAAUCCCUCGGCUUAACCGAGGAACUGCCCUCCAAACUGCGUGGCUUGAGUCCCGGGAGAGGUGAGUGGAAUUCCCCAGUGUAGCGGUGAAAUGCGUAGAUAUUGGGAGGAACACCAGUGGCGAAGGCGGCUCACUGGACCGGAACUGACGCUGAGGCGCGAAAGCGUGGGAGCAAACGGG